UCGAGAAUCUUCCGCAAUGGACGAAAGUCUGACGGAGCGACGUCGCGUGAUUGAAGAAGCUCUUCGGAGUGUAAAAAUCUUUUAUGAGGGAAGAAGUUUAUUGACGGUACCUCAUGAAUAAGGGGCUCCUAAUCUCGUGCCAGCAGGAGCGGUAAUACGAGAGCCCCAAGCGUUAUCCGGAAUCAUUGGGCGUAAAGGGUGCGUAGGCGGUGGUGUUAGUCGUUUGUUAAAUCCUCAGGCUUAACCUGGGGCAGGCGAACGAAACGGCACAACUAGAGAGUGUGAGAGGUGUACAGAACUUAUGGUGUAGGGGUGAAAUCCGUUGAUAUCAUAGGGAAUACCAAAAGCGAAGGCAGUACACUGGCACAUAUCUGACGUUCAAGCACGAAAGCGUGGGUAGCGAAUGGG
rnacentral:rRNA from 1 species